CCCGCCGGGCUCGUGCGUCCUGCGCCCGCCGAGGCGGUGCCGAGCCCGCUGGCUGCCGAUCGUCCUCCGCCGCGGCUGCGGUUGCUGCCUCUUCGCCUCCCGAGCCGGGGCCGCAGGGGCCGGAGCGGUCGCGCCUCCCGCGGGCCACGGCUGCCCGGAGCAGAAACGGCCUGCUCGAUAUAUAAAUCUUGGUGGACAGCGUGGCUGCAGGCCAUCGAGCUGGAAUUCCCUGUGACUUUCUAAGCGGAGAGGGUUUGGUGUGCGUGGUCUCAGCCUGAGGCUUGCAUCAUGCCAGCUUUGUCAACAGGAUCUGGUAGUGACACAGGAAAAUCACUAAGUGGUGUUUCUCCCAGUAGCUCUCACAGGU